rnacentral:tRNA from 1 species
GGGGAUGUAGCUCAGUGGUAUACUGUGUGCUAAGCAAGCACAAGGCCCUGGGGUCAAUUCCUAGCACCCUCU